GAACGCUGACAGAAUGCUUAACACAUGCAAGUCAACUUGAAUUUGGGUUUAUAACUUAGGUUUGGGUGGCGGACGGGUGAGUAACGCGUAAAGAACUUGCCUCACAGCUAGGGACAACAUUUAGAAAUGAAUGCUAAUACCUAAUAUUAUGGUUAUAGGGCAUCCUAUAAUUAUGAAAGCUAAAUGCACUGUGAGAGAGCUUUGCGUCCCAUUAGCUAGUUGGAGAGGUAACAGCUCACCAAGGCGAUGAUGGGUAGCCGGCCUGAGAGGGUGAACGGCCACAAGGGGACUGAGACACGGCCCUUACUCCUACGGGAGGCAGCAGUGGGGAAUAUUGGACAAUGGACCGAGAGUCUGAUCCAGCAAUUCUGUGUGCACGAUGAAGUUUUUCGGAAUGUAAAGUGCUUUCAGUUGGGAAGAAAAAAAUGACGGUACCAACAGAAGAAGUGACGGCUAAAUACGUGCCAGCAGCCGCGGUAAUACGUAUGUCACGAGCGUUAUCCGGAUUUAUUGGGCGUAAAGCGCGUCUGGGUGGUUAUGUAAGUCUGAUGUGAAAAUGCAGGGCUCAACUCUGUAUUGCGUUGGAAACUGAAUAACUAGAGUACUGGAGAGGUAAGCGGAACUACAAGUGUAGAGGUGAAAUUCGUAGAUAUUUGUAGGAAUGCCGAUGGGGAAGCCAGCUUACUGGACAGAUACUGACGCUAAAGCACGAAAGCGUGGGUAGCAAACAGGAUUAGAUACCCUGGUAGUCCACGCUGUAAACGAUGAUUACUAGGUGUUGGGGGUCGAACCUCAGCGCCCAAGCAAACGCGAUAAGUAAUCCGCCUGGGAGUACGUACGCAAGUAU
rnacentral:rRNA from 1 species